CUCCCUGGGUCAGGUUUAACCUGGAAGCUGGGGGAGGCGAAAGGACAGGGGCAAGAACAUCGUUGGCUUUCUCUUUCUCCCCCAACUUGUGCUCUAAUCCUCCUUCCCCACCCAUUGACCACUCUAGAUCCUCCAUGAUGAAAGAGGGAAAGGAGAAGGACCCAGCUCAGGUGUGCCUUCACAGGAUACCUGCCAGUGUCUGCCAAACACAGAGCAAACCUUCCAAGAUUCCCAGUAUCCUGGAAGCCCCCAACACUGAGCUUCAGAAGAGAGAAAGUAUAUAUUCUGCAUUCCCACCUACCCAUUGUAAGGGAGGCUGGAACUAACUGCACACCAGCAAUCCUUCUCCUAAGAAAUCCUCUCCAUUUUCCAAUAAUCUUCAAGAUCCCUGAAAAGGAAUCAGAUUGCAAAGCUGAGACCUCUCAUGACUCCUCCUUGAUUUCCAAGGGUGUCUGCUUCAAGCCUCACAAGAUAAUCCAUUUUUGCCAUGUUAUGUUUCUGGUUAAAUGCCUUAUAGGUAAUAGGUCUACUUUUAAGCAUUAGGAGAAAUAUCUAAUGUAAAUGACGAGUUAAUGGGUGCAGCACACCAACAUGGCACAUGUAUACAUAUGUAACAAACCUGCACAUUGUGCACAUGUACCCUAGAACUUAAAGUAUAAUAAUUAUAAAAAAAAGUUUGAAGAAGUUGACUGUAGUUUCUUUUGAAGAAUUUAAAUCGUGAAAAUUAUUAUAAACCAAGUUUUAAAUAUUAUUUUGAGAAGUUAUACAACAAUAUCUUAAAUAUCGUUAAAGUAAGUUUGGCCUAAAGCUGCCCCCUACAGAUUUUAAGGUUGACCUAUAGGUUUCUUCUUACAUAGUAGACUGUAACCUAACUGGAUGUGUAAACAAACUGGAACCUACUGUUGUGUCAAUCACAGAAUUUUGUCUAAUCAUGAAAAAUCAGUUGUUCAAACUAUGUUAAAAUAAGGGAAACAUCGAGCUGUAACCAAUCUGGCUGUUUCUGUACCUCCUUUUCAUUUUCUUAUGUCAUUUUCCUUUUCCUGGCCAUACAUUGUCUCUGAACACAUGGCAGUAUCAGAGUAAUUUCUAAGCUAUUCCGACUGAGUGGGGAGGCUGCUCCAUCUGCAGACUGUUCUUUGUUCAGUUGAACUCUGUUACAUUGAAUUUGUAUAAAGUUUUUCUUUCAACAAUAUGAGCAUGUAUGCAGAUUUAUGAUGGAGGGAAAAAAAGAAAAUAUUGUAUUUCUGAGGGUUAACAGGAUUGUCAUAAUUUACUGCAGAUUUGACUUUUACUUUUGUUUCAGCAGAAGAAAAACCUGACAAUUGACAUUGUUCACACUUCAGCUACAAAGUAACACAUUAGUUCAUCAGAAGCAGAGAAGUCUUUCUGAUACUGCUAGAAUUGUCUGAUAUGAAAAUUUGCACAGAAGGUACUAAUAAAAUGUCCUUCAUGAUAUUAUUUAGAAAUCACAUAGAAGCCAAUUUUUCUGGACCACUUUUUGAACGAUUCUAGAUGAAACUUAAAGGCAUAUCAUUAAAGUGUAACUCAGUAAAGGUGCUUCAAUGGGGGCUAAGAUUACGUGGUCCACGGUUAUGACUUUCCAAUAGUCUAACAUAAUCAAAGGAUAAAAUUUAGGAGAUAGAGUAAAAGAUAGUUGGAACAUUUAUUAGACUAUCUUUCCUAAAUAGCACUAAUGUCUGCUUGGUACAGAAAUAUUUUUGGUGCAUUUUUAAUAUUGUCAACAGAAAACCACAUGGCCUUUUCUGUACAAUACAGUGACAGCAUUCAAGGAAUUUGCAUUCACACAUAUGAUGGCUACAUAGACAUACAUGUAAAUAUAUAUACACACACAUAUAUACCUACACUUGAAUUGGACAACAAACUUUAAAUUAUUUACCUUUUACUCUUUUUCAAAAUGCUAUAUCUAAAAAUAUAAUAAAACAAUGUAAGAGAUACUGCAGAUAUUUAUUAUGGUCUAGCACAUAAAUGGCUCCACCACAAUACCUGCUAAUGAAGUGGAAUCUAAAAUGUACCCUGGGAACACAGAGGAAAAAGGAACAAAAUAAAAUGGGUAGGAACUAUGUAUUUCUUGGGGAGGUGACAUUUGAAUGAGAGCUUGAAGGACAAGUAAAUGUUGAUUGAUGCAGAAGACAGCAUUGCCAUUAGAGAGAAGUGCCUGGGAGAUGGCAGAAAGGCAGAAGACAGCACAACACGGAUAGGGAGCAGCUUCCAUCCUGGAAGCAAGAAGGCACAUGGCAGAGCACUGAGGAGUGGACAAGGUGAACAGAGGCAAGCACAGACUGGAGAGUUGAUAUUGUGUCCAUCAGACUAAUGGGAAUGGGUGGAUGAGUUUUUGAAAAAGGAGAAUAGGAAAGCUGUGAUUAAUCAUGUGACCAUGGAUUUUAGACAAAUAGCAGCAGUGAGGGCUGGGUAAAAGUUGGCAGACCAUGGAAGAAGAUGAGUUAGGCCAGCUAUGAGGCAUCCCAGAGAGUGGGGACGCACACCACUUCUAUGACUGCACCCCCGUCCUUCCUGUCCUACUGCGUGCUGCUCUACCCACCAUGCGUUGGCAGCUAACUCUCUCAUGGCUUCCAGUCUCUGCCAAUAUUUUCUAUCUCCUAGGCUAGCCCAUGAUUUUCCCUUGUGUGUAUUUCUCCACCAUUGGGUCAUCUUUUUUCUCUGUCUUUUCCAGAACUCCUAAAUGAUGUGUCCAGCAGGCCUCAACUUUAACCAUAAUCUACAACCAAUACUAAAAUUAAAUUAACAUUGUAAACAUAAGUAACCCAAUCACAUUCAAAAUGGCUUAGUUAUUUCAUCCCAAUGAAAAUCAAAGUCAUAUUUACUUUCAUUUUGAAUUAACCCUAGUUGAAGCUACAAAAUUUAAACACCAAACAGUAAGUUAGAACCCUGAUUAACCCUCUCUAACUCUAAGUUAGAACCCCACUUAGAAAAUGAGGCCCAGAGAGUUUAGUUAGAACCCUGAUUAACCCUCUCUAACUCUAAGUUAGAACCCCACUUAGAAAAUGAGGCCCAGAGAGUUUAAGCAUCAAUUUUCAAAGAAACAUAAAAACUGAAAUCUUUUGAACCUGCUCACCAAGCCCAUUUCUAUCUUCAUCAAGUUUAUUGGGUUUCCAGAGAGUUAAGGAGUUGACACAUUUACAGUUUGGAUAACUGACUAUAUUCCUAUAAUCUGACUAUCUAGAAAUAGGUGAGCAUUUCCUUUUACUUUAACAUUUCUGGAAAACACCAACCAUGGAUAACUCUGCAUGUAAAUGUUAUUAAAAAGUUCCAAAUAGAUUCUGUUUUUACAGCUAUCUCUAAAACUAUGCUUAAAUUGGUAAACUCCACGUACUCAGCCUGAUUUAUUAACUUGUUACCCUUUAUGUAGCAACUGGUAGAUUGAUUACUACCCAAAUAACUAAUUACUACCCAGUAAACUUUUCUUUGUCUCUUCCAACAUUCACAACAUUUGGCAGUGGAGUUAAUUGGAAGAGAAAUUGUUACUUUUUGCAUUUUUUGUGGAAACAAUAAAAGGC
rnacentral:lncRNA from 10 species